GCUAACACUGUAGGAUGGGCCCGCGGCGCAUUAGCUAGUUGGUAAGGUAACGGCUUACCAAGGCCACGAUGCGUAGCCGACCUGAGAGGGUGAUCGGCCACACUGGGACUGAGACACGGCCCAGACUCCUACGGGAGGCAGCAGUAGGGAAUCUUCCGCAAUGGACGAAAGUCUGACGGAGCAACGCCGCGUGAGUGACGAAGGCCUUCGGGUCGUAAAGCUCUGUUGUUAGGGAAGAACAAGUACCGUUCGAAUAGGGCGGUACCUG
rnacentral:rRNA from 1 species